GGACUAGCCUCAAGUUAGAUACCUGGAGGUAAAGCACUGAAUAGCCUAGCGGCCGAGAGGUUAGCGAAGCUUAUCAAACUCAGAAUGCCAGAGUAUUGAUGCUUGGGAGUCAGACAGUGUCAGAUAAAUGUCAUUGUCAAAAGGGAAACAGCCCAGAUCUACAGCUAAGGUCCCAAAGUCAGGUUAAGUGGAAAACGAUGUGAAGAUACGCAGACAACCAGGAUGUUGGCUCAGAAGCAGCCACUCAUUCAAAGAGUGCGUAAUAGCUCACUGGUCGAGCGUCUUUGCGCGGAGAAUUUAACGGGGCUAAACCUGACACCGAAGCUUAGGCAAUACAGCAAUGUAUUGGGUAGGGGAGCGUUGUAUACGCGGUGAAACAGUAGCGUAAGCGGCUGUGGAGUGUAUAGAAGUGAGAAUGCCGGAAUGAGUAGCGCGAAUGCAGUGAGAAUCUGCAUGGCCGAAAGCCUCAGGUUUCUGGAGGAAGGUUCGUCCGCUCCAAGUUAGUCGGGAGCUAAGGUGAGGCCGGAAGGCGUAGCCGAUGCACAGACGGUAGAGAUUCCGUCACCACCAAAAGAGUUAAACACAGGGACACAUAUGAAGUCUCGGAGCCGGGUGUUGGUUCCGGUAGCGAUCGAGGGAAGUUAGUACCGAAGUCCGGGAUGGAAGAUGGCGAGAAAAGCUGUGUGUAUUUCUGCGGUGCCCGUACCGCAAACCGACACAGGUAGGUAGGAAGAAGAUUCUAAGGCCAACGGGAGAAGGGUUGUUAAGGAACUCGGCAAAUUGACCCCGUAACUUCGGGAGAAGGGGUGCUGCAGCAAUGCAGCCGCAGAGAAUCGGCCCAAGCAACUGUUUACCAAAAACACAGGUUUGUGCUAAAUCGAAAGAUGACGUAGACGAGCUGACGCCUGCCCGGUGCUGGAAGGUUAAGAGGAGAUGUGCAAGCAUUGAAUCGAAGCCCCAGUGAACGGCGGCCGUAACUAUAACGGUCCUAAGGUAGCGAAAUUCCUUGUCAGGUAAGUUCUGACCCGCACGAAAGGCGUAACGAUUUGGGCGCUGUCUCAGCUGUAGACUCGGUGAAGUCUUAGUACCUGUGAAGAUGCAGGUUACCCGCGACUAGACGGGAAGACCCCAUGGAGCUUUACUGUAGCUUGAUAUUGGACUCUGAUGCAAGAUGUACAGGAUAGGUAGGAGACUGAGAGACAUGCACGCCAGUGUGUGAGGAGUCAAUGUUGGGAUACUACUCUUCUUGUAUUGGAGUUCUAACCGGAUGCCAUGGAACUGGCAACGGGACAGUGUCAGGUGGGCAGUUUGACUGGGGCGGUCGCCUCCCAAAGAGUAACGGAGGCGCCCAAAGAUACCCUCAGCUUGGAUGGAAAUCAAG
rnacentral:rRNA from 1 species